rnacentral:rRNA from 1 species
UACGUAGGGGGCAAGCGUUGUCCGGAUUUACUGGGCGUAAAGAGCGUGUAGGCGGCCAUACAGGUCCGUUGUGAAAACUGGAGGCUUAACCUUCAGACGUCGACGGAAACCGUGUGGCUAGAGUCCGGAAGAGGAGAGUGGAAUUCCAGGUGUAGCGGUGAAAUGCGUAGAUAUCUGGAGGAACAUCGGUGGCGAAGGCGGCAUCCUGGACCGGUAUUGACGCUGAGGCGCGAAAGCCAGGGGAGCAAACGGG